rnacentral:rRNA from 1 species
AGUGAACGCUGGCGGUAGGCCUAACACAUGCAAGUCGAACGGCAGCACAGUAAGAGCUUGCUCUUACGGGUGGCGAGUGGCGGACGGGUGAGGAAUACAUCGGAAUCUACUUUUUCGUGGGGGAUAACGUAGGGAAACUUACGCUAAUACCGCAUACGACCUACGGGUGAAAGCAGGGGAUCUUCGGACCUUGCGCGAUUGAAUGAGCCGAUGUCGGAUUAGCUAGUUGGCGGGGUAAAGGCCCACCAAGGCGACGAUCCGUAGCUGGUCUGAGAGGAUGAUCAGCCACACUGGAACUGAGACACGGUCCAGACUCCUACGGGAGGCAGCAGUGGGGAAUAUUGGACAAUGGGCGCAAGCCUGAUCCAGCCAUACCGCGUGGGUGAAGAGGCCUUCGGGUUGUAAAGCCCUUUUGUUGGGAAAGAAAAGCAGCAGGUUAAUACCCCGCUGUUCUGACGGUACCCAAAGAAUAAGCACCGGCUAACUUCGUG